UAAGCGACUAAGCGUACACGGUGGAUGCCCUGGCAGUCAGAGGCGAUGAAGGACGUGCUAAUCUGCGAUAAGCGUCGGUAAGGUGAUAUGAACCGUUAUAACCGGCGAUUUCCGAAUGGGGAAACCCAGUGUGAUUCGUCACACUAUCAUUAACUGAAUCCAUAGGUUAAUGAGGCGAACCGGGGGAACUGAAACAUCUAAGUACCCCGAGGAAAAGAAAUCAACCGAGAUUCCCCCAGUAGCGGCGAGCGAACGGGGAGCAGCCCAGAGCCUGAAUCAGUGUGUGUGUUAGUGGAAGCGUCUGGAAAGGCGCGCGAUACAGGGUGACAGCCCCGUACACAAAAAUGCACAUGCUGUGAGCUCGAUGAGUAGGGCGGGACACGUGGUAUCCUGUCUGAAUAUGGGGGGACCAUCCUCCAAGGCUAAUACUCCUGACUGACCGAUAGUGAACCUAGUACCGUGAGGGAAAGGCGAAAAGAACCCCGGCGAGGGGAGUGAAAAAGAACCUGAAACCGUGUACGUACAAGCAGUGGGAGCACGCUUAGGCGUGUGACUGCGUACCUUUUGUAUAAUGGGUCAGCGACUUAUAUUCUGUAGCAAGGUUAACCGAAUAGGGGAGCCGAAGGGAAACCGAGUCUUAACUGGGCGUUAAGUUGCAGGGUAUAGACCCGAAACCCGGUGAUCUAGCCAUGGGCAGGUUGAAGGUUGGGUAACACUAACUGGAGGACCGAACCGACUAAUGUUGAAAAAUUAGCGGAUGACUUGUGGCUGGGGGUGAAAGGCCAAUCAAACCGGGAGAUAGCUGGUUCUCCCCGAAAGCUAUUUAGGUAGCGCUCGUGAAUUCAUCUCCGGGGGUAGAGCACUGUUUCGGCAAGGGGUCAUCCCGACUUACCAACCCGAUGCAAACUGCGAAUACCGGAGAAUGUUAUCACGGGAGACACACGGCGGGUGCUAACGUCCGUCGUGAAGAGGGAAACAACCCAGACCGCCAGCUAAGGUCCCAAAGUCAUGGUUAAGUGGGAAACGAUGUGGGAAGGCCCAGACAGCCAGGAUGUUGGCUUAGAAGCAGCCAUCAUUUAAAGAAAGCGUAAUAGCUCACUGGUCGAGUCGGCCUGCGCGGAAGAUGUAACGGGGCUAAACCAUGCACCGAAGCUGCGGCAGCGACGCUGAUGCGUUGUUGGGUAGGGGAGCGUUCUGUAAGCCUGCGAAGGUGUGCUGUGAGGCAUGCUGGAGGUAUCAGAAGUGCGAAUGCUGACAUAAGUAACGAUAAAGCGGGUGAAAAGCCCGCUCGCCGGAAGACCAAGGGUUCCUGUCCAACGUUAAUCGGGGCAGGGUGAGUCGACCCCUAAGGCGAGGCCGAAAGGCGUAGUCGAUGGGAAACAGGUUAAUAUUCCUGUACUUGGUGUUACUGCGAAGGGGGGACGGAGAAGGCUAUGUUGGCCGGGCGACGGUUGUCCCGGUUUAAGCGUGUAGGCUGGUUUUCCAGGCAAAUCCGGAAAAUCAAGGCUGAGGCGUGAUGACGAGGCACUACGGUGCUGAAGCAACAAAUGCCCUGCUUCCAGGAAAAGCCUCUAAGCAUCAGGUAACAUCAAAUCGUACCCCAAACCGACACAGGUGGUCAGGUAGAGAAUACCAAGGCGCUUGAGAGAACUCGGGUGAAGGAACUAGGCAAAAUGGUGCCGUAACUUCGGGAGAAGGCACGCUGAUAUGUAGGUGAAGUCCCUCGCGGAUGGAGCUGAAAUCAGUCGAAGAUACCAGCUGGCUGCAACUGUUUAUUAAAAACACAGCACUGUGCAAACACGAAAGUGGACGUAUACGGUGUGACGCCUGCCCGGUGCCGGAAGGUUAAUUGAUGGGGUCAGCGCAAGCGAAGCUCUUGAUCGAAGCCCCGGUAAACGGCGGCCGUAACUAUAACGGUCCUAAGGUAGCGAAAUUCCUUGUCGGGUAAGUUCCGACCUGCACGAAUGGCGUAAUGAUGGCCAGGCUGUCUCCACCCGAGACUCAGUGAAAUUGAACUCGCUGUGAAGAUGCAGUGUACCCGCGGCAAGACGGAAAGACCCCGUGAACCUUUACUAUAGCUUGACACUGAACAUUGAGCCUUGAUGUGUAGGAUAGGUGGGAGGCUUUGAAGUGUGGACGCCAGUCUGCAUGGAGCCGACCUUGAAAUACCACCCUUUAAUGUUUGAUGUUCUAACGUUGACCCGUAAUCCGGGUUGCGGACAGUGUCUGGUGGGUAGUUUGACUGGGGCGGUCUCCUCCUAAAGAGUAACGGAGGAGCACGAAGGUUGGCUAAUCCUGGUCGGACAUCAGGAGGUUAGUGCAAUGGCAUAAGCCAGCUUGACUGCGAGCGUGACGGCGCGAGCAGGUGCGAAAGCAGGUCAUAGUGAUCCGGUGGUUCUGAAUGGAAGGGCCAUCGCUCAACGGAUAAAAGGUACUCCGGGGAUAACAGGCUGAUACCGCCCAAGAGUUCAUAUCGACGGCGGUGUUUGGCACCUCGAUGUCGGCUCAUCACAUCCUGGGGCUGAAGUAGGUCCCAAGGGUAUGGCUGUUCGCCAUUUAAAGUGGUACGCGAGCUGGGUUUAGAACGUCGUGAGACAGUUCGGUCCCUAUCUGCCGUGGGCGCUGGAGAAUUGAGGGGGGCUGCUCCUAGUACGAGAGGACCGGAGUGGACGCAUCACUGGUGUUCGGGUUGUCAUGCCAAUGGCACUGCCCGGUAGCUAAAUGCGGAAGAGAUAAGUGCUGAAAGCAUCUAAGCACGAAACUUGCCCCGAGAUGAGUUCUCCCUGACUCCUUGAGAGUCCUGAAGGAACGUUGAAGACGACGACGUUGAUAGGCCGGGUGUGUAAGCGCAGCGAUGCGUUGAGCUAACCGGUACUAAUGAACCGUGAGGCUUAACCU
rnacentral:rRNA from 1 species